rnacentral:miRNA from 1 species
CGCCGCCACCUCCCUCCC